rnacentral:misc_RNA from 1 species
UCUCCGUAGGUGAACCUGCGGAGGGAUCAUUACUGAGUGAGGGUCUCCGGGCCCGACCUCCAACCCUUUUGUGAACCACCUCGUUGCUUCGGGGGCGACCCUGCCGGCACUUCGUCGCCGGGCGCCCCCGAAGGUCUCCAAACACUGCAUCUUUGCGUCGGAGUUUAAACAAAUUAAACAAAACUUUCAACAACGGAUCUCUUGGUUCUGGCAUCGAUGAAGAACGCAGC